rnacentral:rRNA from 1 species
GACGAACGCUGGCGGCGUGCCUAAUACAUGCCAGUAGAACGCUGAAGGAGGAGCUUGCUUCUCUGGAUGAGUUGCGAACGGGUGAGUAACGCGUAGGUAACCUGCCUGGUAGCGGGGGAUAACUAUUGGAAACGAUAGCUAAUACCGCAUAACAGUAGAUAUCGCAUGAUAUCUACUUGAAAGGUGCAAUUGCAUCACUACCAGAUGGACCUGCGUUGUAUUAGCUAGUUGGUGAGGUAACGGCUCACCAAGGCGACGAUACAUAGCCGACCUGAGAGGGUGAUCGGCCACACUGGGACUGAGACACGGCCCAGACUCCUACGGGAGGCAGCAGUAGGGAAUCUUCGGCAAUGGACGGAAGUCUGACCGAGCAACGCCGCGGGAGUGAAGAAGGUUUUCGGAUCGUAAAGCUCUGUUGUAAGAGAAGAACGAGUGUGAGAGUGGAAAGUUCACACUGUGACGGUAUCUUACCAGAAAGGGACGGCUAACUACGUG